UGUCUUUCAGCAUAUUCUGAUGCAGACUGGGCUGGCAAUCCGGAUGACAGGCGAUCCACGGGGGGUUAUGCUGUCUUCUUUGGCUCUAACAUGAUUGCCUGGAGUGCUCGGAAACAGGCUACUGUCUCGCGUAGCAGUACUGAGGCUGAGUAUAAGGCUGUGGCCAAUGCCACAUCAGAGAUCAUCUGGGUACAGUCCUUGCUUCAGGAGUUAAGUAUACCCCAAUCACAGCCUCCUGUUCUUUGGUGUGAUAACAUCGGUGCUACAUACCUUUCUGCAAAUCCGGUAUUCCAUGCCCGAACGAAACACAUUGAAGUUGACUAUCACUUUGUGCGUGAACGUGUCCCUCAGAAGCAACUACAGAUCAAGUUUAUUUCUUCCAAGGAUCAACUUGCUGACAUCUUCACCAAGCCAUUGCCUUUGCCACAGUUUGAGACUUGCAGG
rnacentral:rRNA from 1 species